rnacentral:rRNA from 1 species
AUUCUUCGGAAUCUGAGACCGGCGCACGGGUGCGUAACGCGUAUGCAAUCUGCCUUUCACAGAGGGAUAGCCCAGAGAAAUUUGGAUUAAUACCUCAUAGCAUAAUGAGUUGGCAUCAGCACAUUAUUAAAGUCACAACGGUGAAAGAUGAGCAUGCGUCCCAUUAGCUAGUUGGUAAGGUAACGGCUUACCAAGGCAACGAUGGGUAGGGGUCCUGAGAGGGAGAUCCCCCACACUGGUACUGAGACACGGACCAGACUCCUACGGGAGGCAGCAGUGAGGAAUAUUGGUCAAUGGGCGCAAGCCUGAACCAGCCAUGCCGCGUGCAGGAUGACGGUCCUAUGGAUUGUAAACUGCUUUUGUACGGGAAGAAACACUCCUUCGUGAAGGAGCUUGACGGUACCGUAAGAAUAAGGAUCGGCUAACUCCGUGCCAGCAGCCGCGGUAAUACGGAGGAUCCAAGCGUUAUCCGGAAUCAUUGGGUUUAAAGGGUCCGUAGGCGGUCUUGUAAGUCAGUGGUGAAAGCCCAUCGCUCAACGGUGGAACGGCCAUUGAUACUGCAGGACUUGAAUUAUUGGGAAGUAACUAGAAUAUGUAGUGUAGCGGUGAAAUGCUUAGAGAUUACAUGGAAUACCAAUUGCGAAGGCAGGUUACUACCAAUUGAUUGACGCUGAUGGACGAAAGCGUGGGUAGCGAACAGGAUUAGAUACCCUGGUAGUCCACGCCGUAAACGAUGGAUACUAGCUGUUGGGGGCAACUUCAGUGGCUAAGCGAAAGUGAUAAGUAUCCCACCUGGGGAGUACGAACGCAAGUUUGAAACUCAAAGGAAUUGACGGGGGCCCG